CCUACGGGUGGCUGCAGUGGGGAAUAUUGGACAAUGGGCGAAAGCCUGAUCCAGCCAUGCCGCGUGUGUGAAGAAGGCCUUCGGGUUGUAAAGCACUUUCAGUGGGGAAGAAAGCCUUGGGGCUAAUACCCUCGAGGAAGGACAUCACCCACAGAAGAAGCACCGGCAACUCCGUGCCAGCAGCCGCGGUAAUACGGAGGGUGCGAGCGUUAAUCGGAAUUACUGAGCGUAAAGCGCGCGUAGGCGGUCUGAUAAGCCGGUUGUGAAAGCCCCGGGCUCAACCUGGGAACGGCAUCCGGAACUGUCAGGCUAGAGUGCAGGAGAGGAAGGUAGAAUUCCCGGUGUAGCGGUGAAAUGCGUAGAGAUCGGGAGGAAUACCAGUGGCGAAGGCGGCCUUCUGGACUGACACUGACGCUGAGGUGCGAAAGCGUGGGUAGCAAACAGGAUUAGAUACCCGGGUAGUC
rnacentral:rRNA from 1 species